UCGAACGGACUCAUAUUGAAACCUAGUGAUUUAUGAGUUAGUGGCGGACGGGUGAGUAACGCGUGGAUAACCUGCCGUAUACCGGGGGAUAACACUUAGAAAUAGGUGCUAAUACCGCAUAAGCGCACGGCUCCGCAUGGGGCAGUGUGAAAAACUCCGGUGGUAUACGAUGGAUCCGCGUCUGAUUAGCUAGUUGGCGGGGUAACGGCCCACCAAGGCAGCGAUCAGUAGCCGGCCUGAGAGGGUGGACGGCCACAUUGGGACUGAGACACGGCCCAAACUCCUACGGGAGGCAGCAGUGGGGAAUAUUGCACAAUGGGGGAAACCCUGAUGCAGCGACGCCGCGUGAGUGAAGAAGUAUCUCGGUACGUAAAGCUCUAUCAGCAGGGAAGAAAAUGACGGUACCUGACUAAGAAGCCCCGGCUAACUACGUGCCAGCAGCCGCGGUAAUACGUAGGGGGCAAGCGUUAUCCGGAUUUACUGGGUGUAAAGGGAGCGUAGACGGCAGCACAAGUCUGGAGUGAAAUCCCGGGGCUUAACCCCGGAACUGCUUUGGAAACUGUGCGGCUGGAGUGCAGGAGGGGUAAGCGGAAUUCCUAGUGUAGCGGUGAAAUGCGUAGAUAUUAGGAGGAACACCGGUGGCGAAGGCGGCUUACUGGACUGUAACUGACGUUGAGGCUCGAAAGCGUGGGGAGCAAACAGGAUUAGAUACCCUGGUAGUC
rnacentral:rRNA from 1 species